rnacentral:rRNA from 1 species
CACCCGGCUCCAUUCCGAACCCGGCCGUUAAGUGCCGUCGCGCCAAUGGUACUGCGUCUUAAGACGUGGGAGAGUAGGUCACCGCCAAAC